rfam:Xanthomonas campestris pv. campestris str. 8004, complete genome.
AGUUUUCCCUAUCGCGGGGACGGCGGAGUCAGUGCCGUCGCUCCUCGCGGUAGUUCUAUCGAAAGCCAGGAGGGCGGGCGCCACGGACGGCGCAUU